AACAAAUUGGUCUCAUUGCAAGGUCACUACCUGGACGUAUAGGCAAGCAAUGUCAAGAGAGGUGGCAUAAUCAUCUGAAUCCAGACAUACAGAGAGAUGCUUGGACUAUGAGGAGGAACAUGCAUUUAUAAUGCCCAGGGAAUAAAUGGGCAGAAAUAGCAAAAUUUCUUCCUAGAAGUUCUUCUCACCUAUAGCUAAAGCAAGACGACAAACCAGGUGAAUUAUUGGAGUUGCAAGAUACACAGACUCA